GAACCAUUUUUAAUAAUAUUUUAAUUUUAUAUUUAUUUUUAUCACACACUUCACACAACAGCUCACCAUACUAAUAUAAAAUAUGAGAGGUAAAAAUAUCAAUAGUGUACUCGCCACUGUCUUUUUAUCGCCUUCAUUCAUCAUUCAUCUAAUUCAAAAAACCAAUAAUAAUGAAAAGGAGGUAGGUAGCGGCGGGGUCCACUACCGGUUAUUGUCUUGAGUAAUUGGAUUGAUGGUUGUUGGGUGUCGUGGAAUUGCCUAUAUAUUGAGUGCUUUGUGACUAUGGGAAGUAUACGGAGAAAGAAGGAAAAAUUGAGGAAAGAUACAGAGAGCCUUGAUGCACGGAGAGAGAAAGAGAGGGCCGAGACUUGUGGUUUUGAUGAUUCGAUAAUUCAUUUUUAGGUACCGAAAAUGAACGUGGAUUGCUAGUUUCGAGCUUAGGUGGAAGAGACUUCCAGUCUCACCACCCUCUAGUUUCAGGUACUAAGGAUGAAUGUGGAUUGUUAGUUUCGAGUUUAAGUGGAAGAGUUGGUGUUGCGGAUUUAUUUUAUUUAUUUAGAGAUUUUGUAUAUUUAUUUGAGAAAAUUGAUUUUUGUAUCAAUAAAAGGGGUAUUCCUUUUUAUGAUCUUGGGAGAACACUGAUGUAUUUGAAAUUUAAUGAGAUUGAAGAAUUUUAUUAAAAUUUUUGGGUCGUUACUGAAUGGUA